UACGGGGGGGGGCAAGCGUUGUUCGGAAUUACUGGGCGUAAAGGGCUCGUAGGUGGCCAACUAAGUCAGACGUGAAAUCCCUCGGCUUAACCGGGGAACUGCGUCUGAUACUGGAUGGCUUGAGUUUGGGAGAGGGAUGUAGAAUUCCAGGUGUAGCGGUGAAAUGCGUAGAUAUCGGGAGGAACACCAGUGGCGAAGGCGACUACCUGGCCCAUUCUUGACGCUGAGGCGCGAAAGCUAGGGGAGCGAACGGG
rnacentral:rRNA from 1 species